rnacentral:rRNA from 1 species
AGUAACUGCGAGUGAAGCGGGAAAAGCUCAAAUUUAAAAUCUGGCGGUCUCCGGCCGUCCGAGUUGUAAUCUAGAGAAGUGUUAUCCGCGCUGGACCGUGUACAAGUCUCCUGGAAUGGAGCGUCAUAGAGGGUGAGAAUCCCGUCUUUGACACGGACUGCCAGGGCUUUGUGAUGCGCUCUCAAAGAGUCGAGUUGUUUGGGAAUGCAGCUCAAAAUGGGUGGUAAAUUCCAUCUAAAGCUAAAUAUUGGCGAGAGACCGAUAGCGAACAAGUACCGUGAGGGAAAGAUGAAAAGAACUUUGGAAAGAGAGUUAAACAGUACGUGAAAUUGCUGAAAGGGAAACGCUUGAAGUCAGUCGCGUUGGCCGGGGAUCAACCUUGCUUUUGCUGGGCGUACUUUCCGGUUGAUGGGUCAGCAUCAAUUUUGACCGUUGGAUAAAGUCUAGGGGAAUGUGGCAUCUUCGGAUGUGUUAUAGCCYUUGGUCGCAUACAACGGUUGGGAUUGAGGAACUCAGCACGCCGCAAGGCCGGGUACUUGUACCACGUUCGUGCUUAGGAUGCUGGCAUAAUGGCUUUAAUCGACCCGUCUUGAAACACGGACCAAGGAGUCUAACAUGCCUGCGAGUGUUUGGGUGGAAAACUCGGACGCGUAAUGAAAGUGAAAGUUGAGAUCCCUGUCGUGGGGAGCAUCGACGCCCGGACCAGACCUUUUGUGACGGAUCCGCGGUAGAGCAUGUAUGUUGGGACCCGAAAGAUGGUGAACUAUGCCUGAAUAGGGUGAAGCCAGAGGAAACUCUGGUGGAGGCUCGUAGCGAUUCUGACGUGCAAAUCGAUCGUCAAAUUUGGGUAUAG